CACGCAGGCGGUCUUGUAAGUUUGACGUGAAAGCUCCCGGCUUAACUGGGAGAGGUCGUUGAAGACUGCAAGACUUGAGGCAAUGAGAGGGGUGUAGAAUUCCCGGUGUAGUGGUGGAAUGCGUAGAUAUCGGGGGGAAUACCAGUGGCGAAAGCGGCACCCUAGCGUUAGCCUGACGCUCAUGUGCGAAAGCGUGGGGAGCGAACG
rnacentral:rRNA from 1 species